rnacentral:lncRNA from 1 species
AUUACUCUUCUCCCUUUGUUUCUAUACUAUGAUUAGAUUUGGCUCUUGGUGUUUUGAUUAUCACUGUGAGAACUUAGCUUAUGGAAUUUCUCUAACAGAGAAAAUGUGGAAUAGGACAAGGAUGAUUCUACUAGGGUUCCGCUCUCUAUGAUAGGGGUUGUCGGCAUUGAUAGCAAAUGGAGAGGAAAUGAGCAGAGGCUAUCCAAUGAAUGAGUGGAUUCUCCCUGUGAGGGUCUGGCUUCUGAGAGCAGGGGCAGUGGUUAGGAUGAGAUGAUGAAGUAUGGUGGAAUGGUAUGGGUAGGAGCUGUGAGUGAAUGGUGGCACGAGGAUGAUUGUGGCUGGAAUGUAGAUUGGGAACCCAGGCAAAGAUGAGUGGGGUGAAUUGUAAUAGAAGACGGUCUUGAAUAAAACUGGCACAGGCUCUGUGUCUUGGUUUUUUGAAAUUGCAGGUGACGAAAAGGUGUCGUUGGGUCGUGAAAAAUGGAAGAAGAAGGUAGGGCGUGAUGGGGAUGAAGGUAGUUGAGGG